CCGCGAUCGUGGCGAGCGUACGCGUUUCUCCUAACGGAAAACCGUAGUCUAUUGUAAAGCCGUGCACGCGUAACCCUGACGCAACGAGGAGACGACUUAGGACGCCACGCAACGGUGGCAUCUGCAUUUUUUUUUCUUCUAAACAAGAUCGAAGAAGAAAUUCGACAAUUUUAAAGUGACCGGUGAUGAUGAUGAUGAUGAUGAUGAUGAUGAUGAUAAUGAUGAUGAUCGUGCGGAGAUGAACGAACAUAAUACUUACUGAAAAAAAAAAGAUCGAAAAGAAAAAGGGAGAAAGACUGUUGUUUCGUCUCUUUUUACCGUGUUCGGAGGGUGAAGAAAAAAGGAAAAAAAAACAAAAAGAAAAAGUCUCUUUUGGUUGUUAAACCUCGUCGCGUGGAAAACUGUAAAUGGGAAUGGAAUAGAGUGAUGAUGAUGGAUAGUAAUUUGUGAUUAUCAGUGACGAACGCGAGAUAAUUAUUCGUUUUAUUUACGCCGAUAUCGAUUCGUGUUUUAUCCGUUAUUAAAAAUAUGCCGAUCGAGUAACGGGGAAAGUUGAUAAGGGAAGAAAGAAAAAAAAAGAAGAAGAAGAAGAAAAAUAAGAAGAAAAAGAAGCAAACUUAUUUCCCGGAG